GGGCCUGUAGUUUAACGGCAGAAUACUUCAUUCGCAUUGAAGCGAUGUGGGUUCAAUUCCCGCCAGGUCCACCA
rnacentral:tRNA from 1 species